rnacentral:rRNA from 1 species
CAUGGCCGCGGGAUUGGGGAAUUUUCCGCAAUGGGCGAAAGCCUGACGGAGCAAUACCGCGUGAGGGAGGAAUGCCUUUGGGUUGUAAACCUCUUUUCUCAGGGAAGAAGAUCUGACGGUACCUGAGGAAUAAGUAUCGGCUAACUCCGUGCCAGCAGCCGCGGUAAUACGGAGGAUGCAAGCGUUAUCCGGAAUCAUUGGGCGUAAAGCGUCCGCAGGUGGUUUCCAAAGUCUGCUGUUAAAGACUGGAGCUCAACUCCGGAACGGCGGUGGAAACUUGGAAACUAGAGUUCGGUAGGGGUAGCAGGAAUUCCCAGUGUAGCGGUGAAAUGCGUAGAUAUUGGGAAGAACAUCGGUGGCGAAGGCGUGCUACUGGACCGUAACUGACACUCAGGGACGAAAGCUAGGGGAGCGAAAGGGAUUAGAUACCCCUGUAGUCCUAGCUGUAAACGAUGGAAACUAG